rnacentral:rRNA from 1 species
GGUCAAGCUACAAAGAGCACACGGAGGAUGCCUAGGCGCUAAGAGGCGAAGAAGGGCGUGGUAAGCUGCGAAAAGCUUCGGUAAGCUGCAAGCAAGCGUUGAGCCGGAGAUACCCGAAUGGGGCAACCCUGCGGGAGUAAUAUCCCGUAACCCUAUGCUGAACAAAAUAGGCAUAGAGGAGCGAACCCGGGGAACUGAAACAUCUAAGUACCCGGAGGAAGAGAAAGAAUAAUCGAUUCCCCCAGUAGCGGCGAGCGAAGAGGGAAGAGCCCAAACCAAAAGCUAAAGCUUUUGGGGUUGAAGGACACUCAAAAAGCGAAUGGAAGAGCUAGUCGAAGAGGUCUGGAAAGGCCCACCAUAGGAAGUAAGAGUCUUGUAGACAAAAGCCCGAAAAGAGCGAGAGUGAAUCCUGAGUACCACGGGACACGAGGAACCCUGUGGGAAGCAGGGAGGACCACCUCCCAAGGCUAAAUACUCCUUAGCGACCGAUAGAGAACAAGUACCGUGAGGGAAAGGUGAAAAGCACCCCGGGAGGGGAGUGAAAAAGAACCUGAAACCGUGUGCUUACAAGCAGUGGGAGUCCGGCACUUAACUUUGUUUACCAAGAGGUGAUGAUAUGUUCUAUGUAUAUCUCAUCAAAAAUGAGAAAGGCGAGAUAUAUACAGGAUAUACCACAAACCUAAAGAAGAGACUGGAGUAUCAUAAUAACGGUACUACAGUAACUACACGAGGACACCAGUGGGAAGUAGUAUAUUAUGAAGCAUAUAAGUCAGAAACUGAUGCACGUAAUAGAGAAAAAGCCCUAAAGCGAUCUGGUGCAGCAAGGAAGUGGCUAAAGGAAAGAAUAAGUCACAGUUUAGAAUAACCUUGGUAGGUAGAGUUAAGUGCCGGAUGACCGCGUACUUUUUGUAGAACGGACCGGCGAGUUACGAUAACAAGCGAGGUUAAGUAGGAAAUACGGAGCCGAAGCGAAAGCGAGUCUAAAGAGGGCGAAAAGUUUGUUGUCGUAGACCCGAAACUGAGUGAUCUACCCAUGUGCAGGGUGAAGCGGAAGUAAAAUUUCGUGGAGGCCCGAACCGACCGACGUUGAAAAGUCGGCGGAUGACGUGUGGGUAGGGGUGAAAUGCCAAUCGAACUCAGAGAUAGCUGGUUCUCCCCGAAAUAGCUUUAGGGCUAGCCUCAAGGUAAGAUUAAUGGGGGUAGAGCACUGAAUAGGCUAGGGGCCAAAACCGGUUACCGAACCUUAUCAAACUGCGAAUACCAUUAAUUAUACUUGGGAGUCAGACUAUGGGUGCUAAGGUCCAUAGUCAAAAGGGAAACAGCCCGGACCAACAGCUAAGGUCCCUAAGUGUGAACUAAGUGGAAAAGGAUGUAGAGAUGCACAGACAACCAGGAUGUUGGCUCAGAAGCAGCCAUCAUUUAAAGAGUGCGUAAUAGCUCACUGGUCGAGUGGCUCUGCGCCGAAAAUGUAACGGGGCUCAAGUUCACCACCGAAGCUUUGGCAAGGAAACGUGUCACUGGUGUUUUUGGGAGAAGAAAAAGCCAAGCAUUUAAUUUCGCAAAUCAACCGAUGAAAGACUAAAAAGGAAUACAAAAGAGGAAAAAGAUUUGCGAAGAAAUGUUACCAAGGGGCUAAAGUUCAAACUCCAAAGAUAGCAGUGACAUGUUUCCUUGGGUAGGGGAGCGUUCUAUUUGCGGGGAAGCAGUGUUGAAAAGCAUUGUGGAGCGAAUAGAAGUGAGAAUGCCGGUAUAAGUAAGCGAGAAAAGAGGUGAGAAUCCUCUUCGCCGGAAACCUAAGGAUUCCUGGGGAAGGCUCGUCCACCCAGGGUAAGCCGGGACCUAAGCUGAGGCCGAAAGGCGUAGGCGAUGGAAAAUCAGUUGAGAAUCUGAUGCCACCCAAAAGCCGAUUGAAGGAAGGGAUGACACAGGAGGGUAAGUUAAGCGCACCGUUGGUCGAGUGCGUCUAAGCCGGUAGGGCGUAAGACAGGCAAAUCCGUCUUACAAAGAGCCUGAGAGGUGAUGGGGAGCGAAAACAAGUAGCGAACUAACCGAUCCCAAACUGUCAAGAAAAGUCUCUAACGAGGAAGAUGGGUGCCCGUACCGGAAACCGACACAGGUAGGUAAGGAGAGAAUCCUAAGGCGCGCGAGAGAACCUUCGUUAAGGAACUCGGCAAAAUGACCCCGUAACUUCGGGAGAAGGGGUACCUCGGUAUUGUGAGUAUAAACCAUACGAGCAAGAGGAGGUCGCAGAGAAUAGGCCCAGGCGACUGUUUACCAAAAACACAGGUGCCUGCUAAAUCGAAGAGAUGACGUAUAGGUGCUGACGCCUGCCCGGUGCUGGAAGGUUAAGGGGAAAGGUCAAUCGAAAGAUGAAGCUUUGAACCGAAGCCCCAGUAAACGGCGGCCGUAACUAUAACGGUCCUAAGGUAGCGAAAUUCCUUGUCGGGUAAGUUCCGACCCGCACGAAAGGCGUAACGAUCUGGGCACUGUCUCAACGAAGGGCUCGGUGAAAUUGUAGUACCGGUAAAGAUGCCGGUUACCUGCGACAGGACAGAAAGACCCCGUGGAGCUUUACUGCAGCCUGACAUUGGGUUUUGCUGCGUCAUGUACAGGAUAGGUGGGAGACAUAGAAGCGAGAACGCCAGUUUUCGUGGAGUCAAUGUUGGGAUACCACUCUUGAAGCAGCGGAAUUCUAACCUUGAGCCGUAAACCGGUUUAGGGACAGUGUCAGGUGGGCAGUUUGACUGGGGCGGUCGCCUCCCAAAGAGUAACGGAGGCGCCCAAAGGUACGUUCAGGAUGGUUGGAAAUCAUCCGGAGAGUGUAAAGGCAGAAACGUACUUGACUGCGAGACGAACAGGUCGAGCAGGGACGAAAGUCGGGCUUAGUGAUCCGGCGGUACCGAGUGGAAGGGCCGUCGCUCAACGGAUAAAAGCUACCCCGGGGAUAACAGGCUUAUCUCCCCCAAGAGUCCACAUCGACGGGGAGGUUUGGCACCUCGAUGUCGGCUCAUCGCAUCCUGGGGCUGAAGUAGGUCCCAAGGGUUGGGCUGUUCGCCCAUUAAAGCGGUACGUGAGCUGGGUUCAGAACGUCGUGAGACAGUUCGGUCCCUAUCCGUCGCAGGCGUAGGAAACUUGAGAGGAGCUGCCCCUAGUACGAGAGGACCGGGGUGGACAGACCGCUGGUGUACCAGUUGUCCUGCCAAGGGCAUAGCUGGGUAGCUAAGUCUGGAAGGGAUAAGCACUGAAAGCAUCUAAGUGCGAAGCCCGCCUCAAGAUGAGGUUUCCCACCCGUCACUUAACUCAGUAUUUACUUAUGGAUAACCGAUAAAUAUAGUCCCGGGACAGGGAUAAGGGUUAAUUCAUGAGUGAGUAUCGAGUUAAGUGACGGGGUAAGACCCCUGGAAGAAGACCAGGUAGAUAGGCUAGGAGUGAAAGAGCGGUAACGUUUGAAGCUGACUGGUACUAAUAGGUCGAGGGCUUGACCAU